rnacentral:rRNA from 1 species
AGAGUUUGAUCAUGGCUCAGGACGAACGCUGGCGGCAGGCUUAACACAUGCAAGUCGAGCGCGUAGCAAUACGAGCGGCAGACGGGUGAGUAACGCGUGGGAACGUGCCUUUCGGUUCGGAACAACCAAGGGAAACUUUGGCUAAAACCGGAUACGCCCUCAGGGGGAAAGUUUACGCCGAAAGAUCGGCCCGCGUCUGAUUAGCUAGUUGGUGAGGUAACGGCUCACCAAGGCGACGAUCAGUAGCUGGUCUGAGAGGAUGAUCAGCCACAUUGGGACUGAGACACGGCCCAAACUCCUACGGGAGGCAGCAGUGGGGAAUAUUGGACAAUGGGGGCAACCCUGAUCCAGCCAUGCCGCGUGAGUGAUGAAGGCCCUAGGGUUGUAAAGCUCUUUUGUGCGGGAAGAUAAUGACGGUACCGCAAGAAUAAGCCCCGGCUAACUUCGUGCCAGCAGCCGCGGUAAUACGAAGGGGGCUGGCGUUGCUCGGAAUCACUGGGCGUAAAGGGUGCGUAGGCGGGUCUUUAAGUCAGGGGUGAAAUCCUGGAGCUCAACUCCAGAACUGCCUUUGAUACUGAGGAUCUUGAGUCCGGGAGAGGUGAGUGGAACUGCGAGUGUAGAGGUGAAAUUCGUAGAUAUUCGCAAGAACACCAGUGGCGAAGGCGGCUCACUGGCCCGGUACUGACGCUGAGGCACGAAAGCGUGGGGAGCAAACAGGAUUAGAUACCCUGGUAGUCC